AAAGACUUAGUCCUAACCUUACCGUUAAUUCGUGCCAAACAUAUACAUGCAAGUAUCCGCACUCCAGUGUAAAUGCCCUUAGCCCUUACUCAAGGCAAUAGGAGCAGGUAUCAGGCGCACCACUGUAGCCCAAGACGCCUUGCUUAGCCACACCCCCACGGGUACUCAGCAGUAAUUAACCUUAGGCAAUAAGUGUAAACUUGACUUAGUUAUGGCACCUUCAGGGUUGGUAAAUCUUGUGCCAGCCACCGCGGUCAUACAAGAAACCCAAAUUAACUGUAUCCGGCGUAAAGAGUGGGUACUUACUAUCCGAUAAACUAGGGUUAAAAUGCAACUGAGCCGUCACAAGCUAAAGAUGUCACUAAAACCACCUCCAAAACGACCCUAAUACCUACGAUUGACUAAGCCCCACGAAAGCAAGGGUACAAACUGGGAUUAGACACCCCACUAUGCCUCGCCCUAAAUUUUGAUACUUACUCUACCAAAGUAUCCGCCUGAGAACUACGAGCACAAACGCUUAAAACUCUAAGGACUUGGCGGUGCCCCAGAUCCACCUAGAGGAGCCUGUUCUAUAAUCGAUAACCCACGCUACACCCUGCCACUCCUUGCCAAAACAGCUUACAUACCGCCGUCGCCAGCCCACCUCUAUGAAAGGCCAACAGUGGGCCCAAUAGCCACUCACUAGCAAGACAGGUCAAGGUAUAGCCCAUGGAGUGGAAGAAAUGGGCUACAUUUUCUAAAGUAGAAAACCACGAAAGGGGGCAUGAAACUGCCCCCAGAAGGCGGAUUUAGCAGUAAAAUGGGACAAUAAAGCCCUAUUUAAGCAGGCCCCGGAGCACGUACAUACCGCCCGUCACCCUCUUCACAAGCUACACCCUCACAUAACUAAUACACAAGCUAAGCUAAAGACGAGGUAAGUCGUAACAAGGUAAGUGUACCGGAAGGUGCACUUAGCAUAC
rnacentral:ncRNA from 1 species